rnacentral:lncRNA from 1 species
UCCAUUGAGUACAGCCAAAUAUGAGUGGAGCCAGAAACACAAACUAAAACAACAUAAAUCAAAAUUCAAUAAAAACCUCACCAUUGAACGGCAAAUCAAAAAAAUCAAUCUCAGAUUCAAAAGUUAGACUUCCAAGACAGGACCGGCUGAACACAAAAAAUUAGACAACAUUGAGCAAAAGGGAAAAUCGAGAUUUCCAAUCGCCAACUAAAAAGACGCGACUAUCUACCUUCGAGUUACUCUCUUUCUCCCAAGGAGUCUCUCUUCCGUCGUACACCGUGAGCAUGUAUCUUAUCGCCUAC